CCAAGAUUUAGCUUUUCCAAAUUGUGCCACUAUAAACAUGGGUGUCACAGCCAUUUCCUUAUUCUACGUUUAUCCUAAACAUUCUCCCAAAAUGCUUAGUGCUUAGACUCUCAUAAUAUCUAAAACCUGGCCAUACAACUAACAACCCUUUUCUUUUCUUCCAACAAUUCUCUUCCAACAUUCUCUUUUAUGUCUCCAUGCCUCUGCUCAUUCCAUGUUCUUAAUGGAACACCCUUUCCCUCUUCUGCUUGAUUAAAAUUAUAUUGCAGAUAUGCUGAAGUAUGCUCUGGAGCAUGCUUUGCAGAGAACUUUAUGGGUAUGGAUGGAAAGUCUUCAGAUGAAGAGUUCAAGAAUGUGACUUAGGAAUCCAAUCAGUAAUUCAUCUCAGAAGAAGCCAGCACGGGCAGAGAAGAUGAGCUGGUCCCAGGACCCGGAAGGAAGCUCCCCUGCUGUCAUCUCACACUCCUAGGGCAGAGAAGCUGAGCCGCUCCCAGCACCCGUAAGGAAGCUCCCCCACCGCCAUCCCAUGCUCCUAGGGCAGAGAAGCUGAGCUGAUCCCAGAACCCGGAAGGAAGCUCUCCCACCACCAUCCCAUGCUCCUAGGGCAGAGAAGUUGAGCCAGUCCCAGCACCCGGAAGGAAGCUCCCCCGCCGCCAUCCCAUGCUCCUAGGGCAGAGAAGGUGAGGCAGUCCCAGCACCUGGAUGGAAGCUUCCCC
rnacentral:lncRNA from 1 species